GGGGAUGUAGCUCAGUGAUAGAGCACUUGCCUAGCAUGCAACAGGCCUUGGAUUCAUUUCCACCACCGCCA
rnacentral:tRNA from 1 species